CGUACAAAACACAGGGGGCGACCAAGAAACCCCCAUCAAACCCUAGUUCAUCUAAAUUGCUCAAAUUGAAGACCAAAUUCGGAUCCAAAUCAAAAUCCAAGCAUAAAAUAGUGAUCUCCUCUGAAAAGGGGUCAUGAGGAAAGGAAACCGGAACGUCAAGUGGACAAGCCGGUGGUGACGCGUGUUUGAAGGGUGUGCUUUGAAGGUGAUGUUGGCACUAACCGGGAGAUGAUCGAGCUAACUUUUGAGGAACCGAACACUACCUACAAGCUUCCGCAUCAGUUUAUCACUUAAUGGAUUAUAUUUUGGGAAUGUAAACAAUUAACAAUUAGUUUUCGAACGUUUUAACUUAGUACCAAGUUGUCUAAACUUUUGCUACUUAUGAAUUCCAUGUACGGAAUCUAUGCUAUCUAAGUAUGUUUUUA